rnacentral:rRNA from 1 species
AACGAACGCUGGCGGCAUGCCUAACACAUGCAAGUCGAACGAGACCUUCGGGUCUAGUGGCGCACGGGUGCGUAACGCGUGGGAACCUGCCCUUAGGUUCGGAAUAACUCCCCGAAAGGGGUGCUAAUACCGGAUAAUGUCUUCGGACCAAAGAUUUAUCGCCUUUGGAUGGGCCCGCGUUGGAUUAGCUAGUUGGUAGGGUAAAAGCCUACCAAGGCGACGAUCCAUAGCUGGUCUGAGAGGAUGAUCAGCCACACUGGGACUGAGACACGGCCCAGACUCCGACGGAAGGCAGCAGUGGGGAAUAUUGGACAAUGGGCGAAAGCCUGAUCCAGCAAUGCCGCGUGAGUGAUGAAGGCCUUAGGGUUGUAAAGCUCUUUUACCCGGGAUGAUAAUGACAGUACCGGGAGAAUAAGCUCCGGCUAACUCCGUG